rnacentral:piRNA from 1 species
UGUAAAGAUGUUGAACCUCACCCAGC